UGAAAGUGCACCGAUUUAUUGGAGUCCGUGU
rnacentral:piRNA from 1 species